rnacentral:rRNA from 1 species
GAUGAACGCUGGCUACAGGCUUAACACAUGCGAGUCGAGGGGAAACGACGGGGAAGCUUGCUUCCCCGGGCGUCGACCGGCGCACGGGUGAGUAACGCGUAUCCAACCUGCCUCUGACUGAGGGAUAACCCGUCGAAAGUCGGCCUAAUACCUCAUGGCAUCGUCUGCGGGCAUCCAACGACGAUUAAAGAUUUCAUCGGUCAGGGAUGGGGAUGCGUCUGAUUAGCUAGUUGGCGGGGUAACGGCCCACCAAGGCGACGAUCAGUAGGGGUUCUGAGAGGAAGGUCCCCCACAUUGGAACUGAGACACGGUCCAAACUCCUACGGGAGGCAGCAGUGAGGAAUAUUGGUCAAUGGGCGAGAGCCUGAACCAGCCAAGUAGCGUGCAGGAUGACGGCCCUAUGGGUUGUAAACUGCUUUUAUGCGGGGAUAAAGUGAGGGACGUGUCCUUCAUUGCAGGUACCGCAUGAAUAAGGACCGGCUAAUUCCGUG